CUGUAUCGUUUAUGUCGCAUGUAAGGACUGUCCCUGUGAGAUGUGUGUGGAGGAUAGGCUGCUAGCAAACGGAGCUCAAAUGUAGCGCCCUUGGAAGCAGGAGUUUUCACGGUGUCAAAUGUCAGUGGUGAAAAAGGAGGAGAGAAAUUAAAGCUGCACCAGUCGAAGCUCUCUGCAUCUUGCUUUAUUAUUCCAAGUGGGCCGCUACAGUGAAAACUCCUUUUGGCUACAACAGACCUGCCAUCCCUGCAGAGAAGCUGAUGCCACCUCAUCUGAGAUCCAGCUACCAAAUGGAUACCAGCCAGCUGAUUCUGCUAACAUUGAUAUCCUGCACAGGCAAAAUCAAAAAGGACGGCACACUGAAGGUACAACUACGGACGCUAAAGGGACUUUGAGUGCCAAGGAGCAAAGAGGACGAUUUACAUACGCACGCACAAGCUUAAAGCAUAACUGAAAUGCCUUAUAUCGUUUCGAGGUCAAAAAUAGUUUGUGAGUUGAUUUCUAAGAUAUAACAGUGCUGAGGUGAUGAAUAUUUCAGGACAAAUGGAAUGUGUUUAGGGAUAAUAAUUCAUGAUAUUUCUGUUUAUGAAAGGGUUAAAAAGGAGUGAAGCUCUUUGCUAUUAAUACCAGCAACACUCAUUUACGACACUUGUUACUGUUUCAUGCUAAGAAUCCCUUUGAAUGUCCAUAAUCUGUGAAUGCUUGAUUAUAGAUAUUACUCUGUGGUAAAAGAUAGCUACAGCUCAUAGGUGUGAAUUCAGGCAUAGGACAAUCAAAGCCACGUCAGACUUGAAACAGUCGCACAAACAAACAAGAUGUCACUCCCACCAGAAGAAACGGACAAUCCCACAGACACAUCAUUCAGGUCUAGCUCAUGUGAGAGGAAGCUAACAGAGAAAGGCCAAGAAAUGCAUAACCAAGACUCCAAAAAAACGUGAGAAAAUAUUCAACAAGGCCUAUGACUAGCUAGUAGCAAGGGAAACUAGGAUAAGAUUAAAAACCCUCUGCUCAUUAGGAGACCUCAAUAAGUUACAGGAAGAUAUUCAAGCAAAGUACAAUGCUGUAAAACUGCAGUAUGAACCUAUUCUGUGUAACAGUAGCACCACGCCAGAAGUUGUCAAAAAAUGGAUGCGUGUGUUAUGUUGACAAAGGAAAUUUGUGAUCAUAAGCAACCGUCAAGAGACUAUUGUUGAACGUGCUUCUGCUACUUCAAGUAUUGUCCCAGUCUUUGUUUCUUCACUGCAAGAGCCACACAGAGAAAUACUUACGUAUGCAAUAUUAGACACACCGAGUGACUCAACAUUUGUCUUAGAAGAUGUACUUGAUAAACUGAAUGUGAAUGCACAGUCAGUAAAGCUGAAACUCAGUACCAUGACAGCCAUCAACACAAUCAUAUCGAGCAAGAGUGUUCCUGGUCUACAAGUCCGUGGACUUGACUCUGAGAGUUGUAUACAACUACAGUGACUUCAUCCCAGUGGAUAAGUCUUACAUUCCAACAAAAGAAACAGCAUUACUGUGGCCUCAUCUCAGAAACUUGGCAGACAAGUUGCCACCCCUUCAGGACUGUGAUGUAGGACUCCUAAUAGGAUAUGACUGUCCUUCAGCGCUCGCUCCUCUUGAAGUUAUCUUAGGUGACAAAAAUCAACCGUUCGCAGAGAGAUCAGAACUAGGAUGGAGUAUAAUAGGCUCGUGAAACCCCCACCUAGACAGGCAAGGAAGUCAAAGCUUUGUGCAUCGGCUAACAGUAAGAGAACUGCCAGUUCCAUCAGCAACAGAUGUUCUGAAGACUUUGGAAUCAGACUUCAUUGAGAGAACUUAUGAGGAUAAAUAUGUCUCACAAGAUGAUGUUCAUUUCAUUCCGUUCCUCAGUGACCACAUCACACAGAAGGAGGACGGGCAUUAUGAAAUGCCUCUCCCUUUCAAAGGCAACAGUCCACCCAGCUUACCAAACAACAAGAGGCUAGCCACAGUUCGCCUACAGUGUCUUAAGAAAAAAUUAAAGGCCAACAAACAAUACUACGAGCAGUACAAAACAUUCAUGGAGGAAACCAUUAACAAGGGUGAUGCAGAGCCUGCCCCUGCAACCUCUGAGAGAGUGACAGUGAUACCUUCCACAUCACGAUAUCUACCACCCCAAAAAAACAAAUAAGCUAAGAGUCGUUUUUGACUGUUCAGCCAAAUUCCAUGGUAUUUCUCUAAACGACACCCUGCUAACUGGGCCUGAUCUGAUCAAUCCUCUGGUAGGAGUGCUUUGUCGAUUCAGAAAAGAAGCUGUAGCCAUUAUCUGUGAUGUUGAAUGAAUGUUUUAUCAGUUUUCUAUCACUCCUGAAUCCAGGAAUUAUCUGAAGUUCCUCUGGUGGAAAGGCGGAGAUCUGGAGAAGGAACCACAGGAGUACAGGAUGGCCGUUCAUCUAUUCGGAGCUGCUUCGUCUCCACGAUGUGCCAAUUUUGGCUUAAAGCAUCUAGCAAGACAACACAAAGCUAACUAUCCUCUGGCAUCAGCAUUUGUGGAGAGAAAUUUUUAUGUUGAUGACGGAUUAGUCAGCAUCCCAUCAGUUGAUGAAGCCAAAAAACCGAUCACUGAAUCACAAGAGUUGUGCAAAAGAAGAGGCCUGCGCCUCCACAAAUUCAACUCAAAUAAAGAAGCUGCAUUGUCUUCCUUAGACCCAUCUGAAAAAGCAGUAAGCGUCAAGCCUCUAGAGUUUGAUCCAGCGCCAUCAGAACGUGCUCUCGGCAUCCAGUGGCUGAUAAAGGAUGACAUGUUCAGCUUUAACAUCAGCUUGAAGGAUCAGCCUUCAACCCGUCGUGGUUGUUUGUCUGUCAUCGCCUCUCUUUACGAUCCACUCGGGUUCAUUGCUCCAUUCAGCCUAAGUGGAAAACGUAUCCUUCAAGAGCUUUGUCACAGAGGCAUCGGAUGGGAUGAUCCACUUCCGGAAGAUAUAAAGCCACGGUGGGAGGAAUGGAUGAAUGGACUUCUUAAGCUGAAAGAGCUCUCAAUCCCAAGAUGUUACCACCCACAUGACUUUCAUAACAUUGUCAGAGUAGAAUUACACCAUUUUUCAGAUGCCAGCUGCGUAGGAUAUGGUGCAUGUUCUUACCUCAGGUACAAAAAUGACAAGGAUGAAGUCCAUUGCAGUCUCGUGAUGGCAAAAGCAAGGGUCGCUCCCUCAGAGGUCACAAGUAUUCCAAGGCUGGAACUCGCAGCAGCAGUGGUUUCUGCAAAAGUCAGCGUCAUGUUAAAGGGUGAGCUUAACAUGAAAAUCCAUCCAUCCAUCCAUUUUCUUCCGCUUUAUCCGGAGUCGGGUCGCGGGGGCAGCAGCUCAAGCAAAGCCGCCCAGACCUCCCGAUCCACACACACCUCCUCCAGCUCCUCCGGGGGAACCCCAAGGCGUUUCCAAGCCAGCCGAGAGAUGUAGUCCCUCCAGCGUGUCCUGGGUCUUCUCCGGGGCCAAAUUUUUCUGGACGGAUUCACAAGUUGAUGCCCGUAGGUUCCACAUAUUUGUCGCAAACCGUGUUCAACUGAUUAGAGGCAAUAGUGAUCCUGAUCAGUGGCAUUAUGUGGAUUCCUCAGAAAACCCGGCCGAUCACGCAUCUCGAGGUCUCCAUGUUUCAGACAUUCACUCAAUGAACUGGGUGCAAGGUCCGAAAUUUCUCUGGGAGCGUGAAUUGCAUCUAACACCCAGCAGUCCAGCAGACUUACUCGUCGGUGAUCCUGAAGUCAAGACAAUUCAAGUACUUGCAACCGAAAUCAAUAACUGCAAUGACAUCCUCAAGCGUCUGAGUCACUUUUUCUCAUGGACAACACUUUUAAAGGUGGUUGCAAGAAUCAAGAGACUGAGGUCUAAACAAAAACAACAUAGUGAACAUGUGACUGUUGAGGAGCGGGAGAAGGCCGCUGAGACAGUGAUCAAGAUUGUACAGCAGCAAGCCUUUCCCCAUGAGAUAAAGCUGCUUCAAGGUGGAAAGGACCUUCCAAAAUCUAGUUCCCUCUUUAGUCUUGAUCCCAUCUGGUCUGAGGAACUUCUCUGUGUUGGUGGGAGAUUAGAACAGUCAUCUCUCUGUCACAAAGUCAAGCACCCAAUUAUCUUACAGAACGAUAGUCAUGUAACUAAGCUUAUAGUGUCUCACUACCACGCUAAGACAUGCCACCAGGGUCGAAGGCAGACACAAAUGGAGCUGAGAGCCAAUGGAUUCUGGGUCAUUGGUGGAAGCAAGCUGGUCGCUAAGUUGAUACACACCUGUGUGCUUUGUAGGAAACUUCGACGGCCGACAGAGAACCAACGAAUGGCUGAACUCCCUAAAGAACGUCUUGAAGCCUCAGCACCUUUCACGUAUAGUGGCAUGGAUUGUUUUGGACCAUUUAUUGUAAAGAAAGCUCGUAAAAAGUACAAAAGGUAUGGAAUCAUUUUCACAUGUCUGUAUUCCAGAGCUGUUCAUAUCAAGAUGCUCGAAGAUUUGUCGACAGACUCAUUCAUCAAUGCAUUAAGAUGCUUCAUCAGUCUCAGAGGUGCUGUCCGACAACUUUAUUGUGACCAGGGCUCUAAUUUUGUUGGAGCCAAAAAUGAGUUUAAGGAAACACUUAAACAAUGUGAUACCAAACUAUUGGAAAUCUUCCUGACUGAAAGGCAGUGCGAAUUUGUCUUCAAUGCCCCCUCUGCUAGCCAUGCAGGUGGUGUCUGGGAACGGCAAAUCGGAACCAUAAGAAACAUGCUAAAUGCUACCUUCGCACAGUGCCCAGGUCGAUUGGAUGACGCCUCUCUCAGAACAUUGUUAUAUGAGGCCAUGGCUAUCGUUAAUAAUCGCCCAUUGACAGUGGAUGGAAUAAAUGAUCCUCAAGUGAUGGAACCUUUAACACCGAACCACCUCAUCAUGAUGAAAUCUAAGGUUGCUCUUCCUCCCCUGGAGUAUUUGGGAAAGAGGAUUUGUAUGCUACAAAGAGAUGGAAGAGAGUUUAGUAUCUCAUUGAACAAUUCUGGGGUCGUUGGAAAAGAGAGUAUCUACUCAACAUAUCCACAAGACAGAAAUGGCACCUACCUCAGCGCAACAUCAGAGUCAGUGACAUUGUCAUUAUUAAAGAUGACAACCUUCCUAGAAAUCAUUGGCAAUUAGGACGAGUGGUGGAGACUGUUCAGGACAGUGAUGGUUUGGUCCGUCGAGUCAAAGUCCAAGUAGGAGAGUGAAAGCCUCAUAGAAAACAAGAUUCCCCCUCUAAGCCUUCAGUUAUUGAGGCCAGUCCAAAAAUUAGUACUUCUUCUUGAGAAUUAAUUAGAACAAACAGGCUGUUUGUGUACAUGCUAUUUUAUUGUGUAUGAUGUUGUACAGUUCAACUGUAUAACUCUGAUAGUUAAAGGUUAUAGGUCAAGAAAUCCUGUACAAUUAAUUUAGCCUUUGUAUAUUUGUUCAUUCAUUGUAGCAGGAUUUGGUGGGAGUGUAAAUGGCAGUUAAUUUCGUUUAUGGCAAAUGAAGUUCUGACCCGCUACAGCUUGGUGCUUUUAUUUUGAAGACCACCGUUUUCUUCUUCUACUUCCGGUGCUGCCGACGUUAGACAUUACGCUCCUGUCUUGUCGUAACGACGUGUUCACGUCACGCACAAGCUGGUAAAACGUGAACAAAUUAAUUACUUAUCGUGUUAUGUAUUAAAACCUAAGAAAGGUAUUUUAUUGUUGUUUGCUCUGUGUUCUGUAUCGUUUAUGUCGCAUGUAAGGACUGUCCCUGUGAGAUGUGUGUGGAGGAUAGGCUGCUAGCAAACGGAGCUCAAACUUAGCGCCCUUGGAAGCAGAAGGAGGAGGAACUGCAGCAAGUUGCACAGUUGUGGAAUACCCAUGUCGUCCGAAAGACCAGGAAUGCAAUAGCUCCGAGUGGACGUCCGAUUCUCAUGUACACCCUGCCCCAUCUAUUUGGAGGACAAGAUUACUUGAAACAGGUCCCUCAGGAAGCAGUGGAGGCUUGCAAAGAAGAAUGCCAACAGAGAGGACCAUGUCCUUGUGAUGAAACAGUGUUUGACAUGUGCUGCCUUAUAAUGGCAGAGAACUUCUUACACUCACCUACCACAGCUGAUGAAGCUAUAGAGCUGUAUCUUUUCCUGAGAGCAUACAUCCUUAAAGACCUGGACAUUAUCCCAUGAUAGCUGUAUCUUUAGUGCUAAGAAUAAUGAAUGGUGAACAUCUAAAGCACAGUGAUCAUGUUUUUGUUUUGUUCUUUACUUGAUCAAUUUUUUCGUGAAUUCCUGCCCUAAAUCUGCAGUUAAAAUACUCGACAUGUCUCUAGUAGUAACAUUACUGUCCCAUACGAUGUAGUGGGCAUGCAGUUUCGUGACCUGAAUACCUAUAAGAAAUAAGUGUUGUUAGACAGGUAAAUACAGUAAAAUGUAUAAGUAAUAGGGCAUUGUUUAACAUGGUAGUGUUACAAUCAAGGAGUGGUUAUGUUUCUCAACACAAGGGGGCGCACAUCAACAUAACAUGGAGGUUUAAUGUGCUUGCUUCC